rnacentral:rRNA from 1 species
ACACGCAUGACACACUGCAUAUCAAUAAGCGGAGGAAAAGAAACUAACAAGGAUUCCCUUAGUAACGGCGAGUGAAGCGGGAAGAGCUCAAAUUUGAAAUCUUCAAGGUUUGACCUUGACGAAUUGUAGUUUAAAGAAGUGUUUUCGGUUAGAGGAGUAGUAAAAGUUCUUUGGAAUAGGACAUCAUAGAGGGUGAGAAUCCCGUAUUUGACCAUUAUUUCCAACUUUGUGAUACACUUUCAACGAGUCGGAUUGUUUGGGAAUGCAGUCCAAAAUGGGUGGUAAAUUUCAUCUAAAGCUAAAUAUUGGCGAGAGACCGAUAGCGAACAAGUACCGUGAGGGAAAGAUGAAAAGAACUUUGAAAAGAGAGUUAAACAGUACGUGAAAUUGUCAAAAGGGAAGCGUUUGACACCAGUGUUGUUUUUCCGAAAAUCAAUUACGAAUGUUUUAUUUUUGAGAAGUUAUGACUUCAUCGGCUUGCUUCUCUCUUUAUGAAACUUUCUUAAUGCACUUUUCGGUUAACAAGUCAACAUCAAUUUCUUUUGUUGUAAAAGGGUCAUGAGGAAGGUGGCUUUCUUUUCGGAGAAAGUGUUUAUAGCCUUUGACUUCUACAAUCGGAGAGAUUGAGGUCUGCAGCGUAGAUCCUUCGGGGUUAGAUACAUUUGUGCUAAGCUAUAGCCUUUCAUAGACAACUUGUUGACUAUGAUCAGUCAUGUAGCUUACUCGCUUAUGCUAUUUUACCUACGCUUAGGAUGUUGAGCGCAUGUCUCUCUCU